rnacentral:misc_RNA from 1 species
GUGAGUCAUCGAAUCUUUGAACGCAAAUUGCGCUCUCGGGAUAGGCCUGAGAGCACGCCUCUUUGAGCAUCGAUUCUACCACAAGUCGACGACGUCCUUGCAAAAGGAUGUGCAGUCGGACAUUGAGCCUUGCCGGCCGUUCGCGGCUAAGCUGGCUUCAAAUAGAGCGAGAUACACAGCGAUCCUUCUGACACAUCAGGAGUGAUUUGUGACGUGGAUAACUUCACUACUCGUGAACCUUCCAAUACGUGACAGUCUCUCAUUCAACUGCUGUGCUAGUGGAAAGCAACGUGUGUUGGAUCGUCAUUCGUGACAACUCUUUUGAAUUAGAUCUCAAAUGAAGCGAGACAACCCGCUGAACUUAAGCAUAUCAAUAAGCGGAGGA